rnacentral:rRNA from 1 species
UACGAAGGGGGCUAGCGUUGUUCGGAAUUACUGGGCGUAAAGCGCACGUAGGCGGACUACUAAGUCAGGGGUGAAAUCCCGGGGCUCAACCCCGGAACUGCCUUUGAUACUGAUAGUCUCGAGUCCGGAAGAGGUGAGUGGAAUUCCGAGUGUAGAGGUGAAAUUCGUAGAUAUCUGGAGGAACACCGGUGGCGAAGGCGGCAUCCUGGACCGGCAUUGACGCUGAGGCGCGAAAGCCAGGGGAGCAAACGGG